rnacentral:lncRNA from 1 species
GGAGAAGGAAAGAGCAGCUCUUCUCCUGGUGGGCUCAGCAGGGUGCACUGCAGCACCUUCCUGACUUGGAAAGGGAGGAAGCCCCAGGAAAUUUCAGGCAUUGCACAGUGGAGCCUGUUACCUGGAUAUCAAUUCCUCAAGACUAAUGCUAUAAGAAAAUCUGAGAGAGGGAAGCUAUGUCCUUUCCCCUAGGAAGGCUCUCAAAGGAAAGGAAAUAGGAC